rnacentral:rRNA from 1 species
UCUUGAAAUGAUUUCAAGUAACCUCUGCCCUAUGAAUAGUUUAAAUGGCCGCAGUAUUUUGACUGUGCAAAGGUAGCAUAAUCACUUGUCUUUUAAUUGGAGGCUGGAAUGAAAGAGGCGACGAAAUUUGGGCUAUUGAUCUUUAAGGGAUAAAUUGACAUAAAAGUCAAAAGGCUUUUAUAUAUCAAAGGGACGAUAAGACCCUAUAAAACUUUACUGUGGGAUAGAUUAUCUAGGGAGUAUUAAAGGUACGGUUUGACUGGGGCGGUUUAUAUAAAAACAAUUACAAUAUAAAUAUAUUUAAUAAAAUCUGAGAACUUUAAUAUAAAAUGAACAAGUUACUUUAGGGAUAACAGCAUAAUUCUCCCAGAGAGUCCUAAUUGGCGGGAGAGCUUAUGACCUCGAUGUUGAAUUGGGAAGGCUAAUGUAAGUAGAAAUAUAUUAAGAGAGUCUGUUCGACUAUU